GUUUUUUCAUCAUACAAAAAGAAAAAGAAGAGUACGAGGUCACAAAGAUCAGAUUUUUUUUCUUCCGAUUAGCGUUUAAGAUUCAGUUCUGCAUAUCGUUUCAAUGGCAGUUGUAUUGGAAAACUUUCAGAGAACACCGUUUGUUGAAAGAUUUUCAGAGGAUGAAAGGGAGGAGAUGCGUAUGGAGAAUCAGGCAAUACUUGCUCGAUGGUUGAAGAAGGAAGAUGAACGAAGAUUGUUGAGUGUUACUACUCAGUGCAGCGAAACAGAAGCAGAUAAUUCUGAAAUAACAUAUCGUCCGGGAUAUAUAAAGAAACCGUGGUUUGAAAAUGUUCCAUGGGUUGAAAUUGGAAAAAGACAACCUGGGUCUAUCACUGGUUCGUUUGUGCAUGAAAAAAAAGACAGGGUAAUAAGGCUUACUGGUGUUGCGAUCCUUCCCAAGGUAGGAGGCCAAGGUGAAAAAAGAGGGACCAUUAUCGGUACCCUUGAAGCCCAUGUGAACGGGUACAUAUACACGUCCUCCAGUUUCCGCAAGCAUUUUUAUUUUGACGAUAUCCAAUAUUCCUUCUUCCGACUUGGGGACAGCACGCUGCCGCCUCUCUUACACUUUCAUAUGCAUCCCCCCUUGAAGAAGAAGAAGAAGAAAGAAGAUACAAAAGAGUUUGAAUUCCAUUUGGUGAAAUGCCCUCCGGGACAGAAUAGACAAAGGAGGUCUCAUCAUGAUUCAGAUAAGAUUGAGAAGCAAAACAUCUCGGACAAUGAACGUUUGAAGAACUUUGUCGACGAAGUUCAUGCUCCAUGGGAUACCCUGCCUAUAUCACCUCGUCUUUUUGUCAAGCUAGCGAAGGAGUACGAGUUUGAUGGGAAUAUUCACUGGAAGGGAUCAUCCGUCUAUUCACACCCCACCUUUGUCCUGACUCCAUAUGACCUAAUUGUGCUUGUAGAAACACCCUUCACUGUGUUCCCGAUGGAAGAAAUUGAGAUUGUUAAUCUGUCGGUUCUGGGAUCUGAGAAAAUCAAUAUGGCAGUCAUAUUUAAGGACUUUAAGGAGGAGAGCGUGCUUUUAAUCAAUGCAAUUCCCUUAAAGGCGUUUGCUGCCAUAAAAGAUCGCCUCAACUCUGGUUUUGUGAAGUACUAUGUCAACACUAAAGAAAUAGACUGGAAGGCCACGGUGAGGGACAUAGCAGCUUUCCCGGAGAGAUUCAUAAGCAUGGGUGGAUGGGAUCAAUUUGAACUCGAGGAUGGUCAUACUUUGGCAUACAACUGCCGUCCGCCGAAGAGAAACUUGGUGGUGAUGAAGGAGCGAAAAAAUGGUAGUGAAGCAUGAGAAAGGUUGAUGUUAGACCAGCAAGUGUAGUGUCUCUUUUGAAUGGGCAUGCAGCUUUGUUUAAUCGCAGUCUGGUGGACCGGGAUGGGAUGUUCUGAUGGGUAGAAAGGACACCUAGCAAAACAGAUGCGAAUAACAACAUUCUAGCAUCGUUGAAGCAGCUCUGCUCCAACUCCGAAACUGACAGCAGUGCAACUCUAACAGCUCUCGACUUGGCAACACCAGCACUAACCGGUUUAUAGAAGGUUGCUGCAACUGUUGCUGGCGACGCAUCUGUGGUUGAUCCGACUUUGUUGUGACUGAGGGCAUUCUUGGGUUGAUAGGACCUGUGGUUGAGACUGAGAUUGUAACUGUUAUUCCAGAGGUUUUUGUGGAUGAUGUUGUUUUUGCUGCUGUCAUUGCUCAAAUAAGAUUAACCCUUCGGGCUUCUCCCA